ACAGAGUGGGUACAAGCUUAGCCUGGCAGGGGGAGCACCUGAGAGAACCCCUCGCCACAGGAUGCACCCAGCCCUGCAAGGAGGGAGAGGACCGGGAGAGGAAGGAAAAACAAGCUUGUAGGCUUGCAGGUUCCCAGGAUGCAGAGUUCUCCGCAGAGGUGGCUGACUGCCCAUCAUCAAUGGGAAGGGGUGGCAACUGACUGAGCUGAGGCUCCCCGUGUCGCAGGCCUCCUGUCAUCCCACCCAGUUUGUUUAGUGCAGCCUCUCCUGUAGACACUGCCGUCUGUCUUUCCACUCCAGUCCCCCUCUCAACACUUUCAAAAGUCCUAAUCUCCAGUAAAGAUCCAGGAAAUGGGGCGGUGGUGGCGCGCGCCUUUAAUCCCAGCACUCAGGAGGCGGAGGCGGAGGCAGGAGGAUCUCUCUGAGUUUGAGGCCAGCCUGGUCUACAGAGCGAGAUCCAGGACAGCUAGGACAGUUACACAGAGAAACCCCGACUGGAAAAACCAAACAAACAAAAGAUGUUUCUGCAGCUCCUCCCAAACUGUCAAGCGCUCUUUCUCCCGCUAACCAGGACCACU